rnacentral:lncRNA from 1 species
UAACAGUAUACAGGGCUGCCUUGCUCUUCAAGAUGAGUUAGCGCUCCCUUGCCUUCACCUCUCACUGCCUGGCUGGGAAAGCCACUGGACCAAAAAGCAGGGCAAGAAAUAAAUUCAUUCAUGGCAAAAGGCACAGGCAACUGGCCAGGCAGCCGCUGGUGUGAUGUCUACGUAGCACCGCGCCAUGGAGACGAGGCAGGGGAUUCCUGAGGUAACAAGGCUGAAGCUCAAGAGUGGAGCGGCGCUGGAUGGUAGUUUUCCUGGCAGACUUCAUCUCCUAGGCCUAGUGGCAUUGAAGGUCUCCCUCUGGGUCCCCAUGCUGCUGCCUCUGUGUGAGCAGCAGCUCUGCUGGGAGAAGCUGUGGACGUGGAGGACCCUCAGCACCCUUCUUUCUUCUCGCCAAGGCACUCUCUGCCAGUUCAGGUGCUGCAGCAGGCAGUGGAGCUGCCCUCUUCUCACUCCUCUCCUGGCAAGAGGCAUGAGGAGUGAGGGAUGA